AGUUGAUUUGACAGUUUAUCUGAAGAGACCCUGCACCACUUCCGACUCAGAACUUUACAUUCAGUUGAAAAGGACAAUCUUCCCCGAAAGAAAAAUACUGUUCUUUGGUCAAGGUUAUGAGAGGAACUCAGUUUUCCUACUAGAAACGCCAAACAAGUUAUCAUAGAAUAUUUGUGGGAAUCUAUGAUAUUAAAAUUUACUAUGUUUCAACAAAGUCCAUGAAUAAUUGGCAU
rnacentral:snRNA from 1 species